rnacentral:rRNA from 1 species
AGCUCCAAUAGCGUAUAUUAAAGUUGUUGCAGUUAAAAAGCUCGUAGUUGGAUUUCUGGUGGGAGUCGCCGGUCCGCCCCGUGAGGGGUGUGCACUGUUGUUGAUCUUGCACCAUCUUUGGGGUGAACAGCACUGGCAUUAGGUUGUUGGUGUUGCAAUCCCCAUCGUUUACUGUGAACAAAUUAGAGUGUUCAAAGCAGGCUUACGCCGUUGAAUACAUUAGCAUGGAAUAAUGAGAUAGGACCUUGGUGUGGCAUAUUUUACGAUGUGCCUAUUUUGUUGGUUUGUACACCAUGGUAAUGAUUAAUAGGGAUGGUUGGGGGUAUUCGUAUUCAAUUGUCAGAGGUGAAAUUCUUGGAUUUAUGGAAGACGAACUACUGCGAAAGCAUUUACCAAGGAU